rnacentral:lncRNA from 1 species
GUCUUGUGACCCGGAAUCAUGGUGAUCUAAAAGAGCCCUGUGACUCUGGGAAAUUUGUUAUCAAAGGAUGUUAGCCACAAGUCCUGUUGGCAAAUGGACCCCAGGUGGCCUGCAGUGCCAAGCUGUUUCCCUGCCAGCCUCCCAGUCUGGCCCUGACUCUCCAAUAAAUCAACCACAUAACACAUUGGGUUAGAUCAAUGCAUCCUCUGUAUCUCUUGGAGCAGCACCAGUGCAGAAUUUUCCUUCUAAGAUCAAUGGCAGGCUGGGAAAAUACCCAGACAUCGGUACACAAUGUGACAAGCAAUAAGGAGUGGAGACUUUUCAAAGGGUGAAACGAGAUGACAGCAGAAGCUGCCAGGCAUGGUGGUGAGCACACAGCAGGCCCUCACUAAAAGUGGAGUCCAAACCCCACACCUCAGCAAAGCUGGUUUAGGAACACUCCAGGGAAUUUCUCAACAUUUUUCCUGUAAGUCAAUGAAGAGCCAUUGGAGGAUUUUAAAUAAGGAACCGAAAAAUGGAGUCUGAAAAUAGAGGCGCAGAGACCGGUUCUUCCCCAAACCAUCAUGGACCAGUUGGACUCUGAGAAGAAAAGUUUCUGAUCUUUAGUUCAUUCUUCCAACUCUCUAGAAAGCAGGAAAACUGAGAAUGAAAAAUUCUAAAUUACUCAGGACUCAUGGGUUGCCAAUAGAAGAAAUACAUCUUAAACUAGCUUAAGCCUGAAAGGGAAAUGUAUUUGUUCAUGUAACUGAACCAUAACGAAGGAUGGUGGACUGAGGGACCUGAAAACACCCUCAGGACUCCCUCCCUCUCCUUUGUGCUCCUGUCUGAUGCCGUCUUCCCAGACCUGCUCACUCUCCAUAAGGUGGGGAUGUGGCCAUCAGCAACGUGUACUUCCCCGAAGCUUGUGACCUGAGUAGAUAGGCAUCUCCCAACCCACAAGGAUUGAAAAGUUCCUCUAGGAAUUAUGUGGAUUGGCCCAUUCACUAUGACAUGUUCCCCCUAAGCAGCUAAAGGAACUGGGUCUGUUACCAGAAGAGGUGGGAGAGGGGUGCUAGGCAGAUUGAACAACAGCCACUACAACAUCUGAGGAGGAGACCUCCGUGAAGGCCACCAAGUCUGCUAGCAGAUAUUUCCUCCCUCGGAUCUCUCUCCCUGUCCUCACAGUCUCAUAAGUGAGGAUUAAAUACUACAUGUGGCCUAGGAGAUCUUAGACCCUCCACACGAAGAUAUAGUAACAAUCAACAUCCUAGUGUUCUGGCAGAGAAAAAAUCAGAAAGAAUCGUUUGCCUGAUUUUUCCAUCAAUACCAAUAAUUAAUUAGAGAUGAAAUUUGUGAUGGACUCAGAGAAUUAGAGAAGAUCUAAGGGAAUCUAGAUGAUUUCCUACCCCUAACCAGAGCCUCACAAAAAAGGGUGAAGAUCUAUGGCCGUCUUGCGUUUGGUGUGAGGCUGGACAAGGAAGUUCCUAAGGUCCUUUAGACUCUGUGAGAUCAUGAGUCCGUAAAACCCUUCCAACUUGAAAUUAGUUGAUUCCUUCCUUAAAUUUUCUGGGACAUUCCCCCACUCCCUCCACUCUUAUUAGCUGAUUUUACUGACCAAUAGGCCUUGAAGUUGGGCGUUCCAUCUAGAUGUCUCACAUCAACUCACCUUUUGCAAAUUAAGCCCAUACCCUUAAAGAGGGGAAUUCUCAAGCCAUUAGAAACUAGAGAGUCAGCUGGGCAUGGUGGCUCACGCCUGUAAUCCCAGAACUUUGGGAGGCCAAGGUGGGUGGAUCACUUGAGGUCAGGAGUUCGAGUCCAGCCUGACCAACAUGGCGAAACCCCGUCUCUACUAAAAAUACAAAAAUUAGCCAGGGGUGAUGGCAUGCACCUGUAAUCCCAGCUACUCAGGAGGCUGAGGCAGGAGAAUUGCUUGAACCUGGGAGGCGGAGGUUGCAGUGAGCCAAGUUUGCACCACAGCACUCCAGCCUGGGCAACAGAGUGAGACUCAGUUUCAAAAAACAAAAGAACAAACAAACAAAAACUAGAGGGUCUCCUCUUAGUUCUUAAACCCUCUUAGUCAACAUUUGUGAGCCUCUUUUCUGUAUGUUUUGGCAUCUUUAUUCCUUUCCUUCGUGUCUUGACCAAAUUCACCAGAUCAUGACUCAGAACAAAAUCCUGAGGUUGAAUAUAGAGGUCUAGAACAUCUUCAAAUUAACUGUUUCUCCUCAUAGAGAAUUAAAGAAAUUGAGAAAGCAAGAG